rnacentral:rRNA from 1 species
UAGGGAAUCUUCCGCAAUGGACGAAAGUCUGACGGAGCAACGCCGCGUGAGUGAAGAAGGAUUUCGGUUCGUAAAACUCUGUUGUUAGGGAAGAAAAAAUGUAUAGUAACUAUAUACAAAAGAGACGGUACCUAACCAGAAAGCCACGGCUAACUACGUGCCAGCAGCCGCGGUAAUACGUAGGUGGCAAGCGUUGUCCGGAAUUAUUGGGCGUAAAGCGCGCGCAGGUGGUUUAGAAAGUCUGAUGUGAAAGCCCACGGCUCAACCGUGGAGGGUCAUUGGAAACUAAUAAACUUGAGUGCAGGAGAGAAAAGUGGAAUUCCUAGUGUAGCGGUGAAAUGCGUAGAGAUUAGGAGGAACACCGGUGGCGAAAGCGGCUUUUUGGCCUGCAACUGACACUGAGGCGCGAAAGCUAGGGGAGCGAACAGG